CAGCAGCCGCGGGAAUACGAAGGGGGCUAGCGUUGUUCGGAAUUACUGGGCGUAAAGCGUGCGUAGGCGGCUUUGUAAGUUAGAGGUGAAAGCCCAGGGCUCAACCCUGGAACUGCCUUCGAUACUGGCGAUCUUGAGUCCGGAAGAGGUGAGUGGAACUCCUAGUGUAGAGGUGGAAUUCGUAGAUAUUAGGAAGAACACCAGUGGCGAAGGCGGCUCACUGGUCCGGUACUGACGCUGAGGUGCGAAAGCGUGGGGAGCAAACAGGAUUAGAUACCCCUGUAGUCCCUGUCUCUUAUAC
rnacentral:rRNA from 1 species